CCGCGGGGUAAGACAGGGAUCCUGCCCUGGUCCCGGGGCCUUUGCCAGGGCAGAGUGGCGCUGCUGUCUUCCUGCAGUCAGAAAACACCGAGUGAAAAGAGCUGGUUUCCUGCUUUAUCCAAGGCCUCUGGAACAGGCUGCUGAUCCAGCACCAGGUACUUCAUCUGGAAAUAGCCUCAUCAUGUGCAACACUACUGUGGCAGUGGGAAAAGGAAGAGAUCUUCUCAUAGCUACAAUACAACAUACUGGCAUAUGCAGAAAGUGUUGUCUUCCCCACUACCUCCCAGUCAGCUCCACAACUUACUUCUGCAGAGCUGUUUGUUUCUCCUCUAUUAUCAGCUUCUGAAUAGAUCGGCCUCCCACAGAGACAAGAUCUGCAACCUUUCAAGAUUGCACAGCAUGAAAGGGCAUGGCUAUUUUUUUCCUGAAUGGAGAUUUUUUUUAUAGAUAAGUCCUGAAUGAUAAGAAAAAUAUCAUUAACAUAAACAAUUACAGGAUUUGUCUUUUGUGAACUCUGCUGCCGCCAGAAUCCCCCAAAUGAAAAUAUAGCCUUGGAUAUCCUUUGGGCUACAUUACUCUUUAUAAGCCAGGCAGUUAAGCACAAAUAAAAACAGCUAUUUGUUACAGUUCUCAUCUCUUACAUUGAAUUCAUUUUGCAGAUCUGAAUUAGGGUCUGCUGCUGCAUAUGUAGCACACCUCUAUCUUUGAUUUCAGUCAACAGACAAAAGAAGAGGUAUAGAGAAGAGACUAAACCGGGGUGGGCAAAACGUGGCCUGGGGGCUAGAUGCAGCCUGCCAGGCCAUUCUAUCUGGCCCGUGGGGCCCCUAAAAAAUGUAGAAAAUUAAUAAUAAUCUGCCCUGGGGUGUCUGUAACGCGGCCGUCAAUGGUUUUCCAAAACUCAGUAAGCGGCCCUCUGCCCAAAAUAAUUGCCUGCCCUUGGACUAAACUCAAAAGACAAGACAAGGUGUAAGUGAAAUUUAAACCCCCCAGUUCUGGCUAGGAGAAUGAUUCCUCCACCAAGAUGCUGCAGUAGAGGCAGCCCCAAGGCUCCCACCAAAGAACCAUCUCAUCAGUCAUGGUGUAGGUAGCAUGCUAGUGUAGUAGGGCUUACCUUUUCGGGGCUUGGGUUGAGUCCCAGGAUUGAGGGUCUGCUG